rnacentral:rRNA from 1 species
AACUCCGUGCCAGCAGCCGCGGUAAUACGGAGGGUGCAAGCGUUAUCCGGAUUUAUUGGGUUUAAAGGGUCCGUAGGCGGACUCGUAAGUCAGUGGUGAAAUCUCAUAGCUUAACUAUGAAACUGCCAUUGAUACUGCGGGUCUUGAGUAAAGUAGAAGUGGCUGGAAUAAGUAGUGUAGCGGUGAAAUGCAUAGAUAUUACUUAGAACACCAAUUGCGAAGGCAGGUCACUAUGUUUUAACUGACGCUGAUGGACGAAAGCGUGGGGAGCGAACAGGAUUAGAUACCCUGGUAGUCCACGCCGUAAACGAUGCUAACUCGUUUUUGGGUUUUCGGAUUCAGAGACUAAGCGAAAGUGAUAAGUUAGCCACCUGGGGAGUACGUUCGCAAGAAUGAAACUCAAAGGAAUUGACGGGGGCCCGCACAAGCGGUGGAUUAUGUGGUUUAAUUCGAUGAUACGCGAGGAACCUUACCAAGGCUUAAAUGGGAAUUGACAGGUUUAGAAAUAGACUUUCCUUCGGGCAAUUUUCAAGGUGCUGCAUGGUUGUCGUCAGCUCGUGCCGUGAGGUGUUAGGUUAAGUCCUGCAACGAGCGCAACCCCUGUCACUAGUUGCCAUCAUUCAGUUGGGGACUCUAGUGAGACUGCCUACGCAAGUAGAGAGGAAGGUGGGGAUGACGUCAAAUCAUCACGGCCCUUACGCCUUGGGCCACACACGUAAUACAAUGGCCGGUACAGAGGGCAGCUACUAUGCGAAUAGAUGCGAAUCUCGAAAGCCGGUCUCAGUUCGGAUUGGAGUCUGCAACUCGACUCUAUGAAGCUGGAAUCGCUAGUAAUCGCGCAUCAGCCAUGGCGCGGUGAAUACGUUCCCGGGCCUUGUACACACCGCCCGUCAAGCCAUGGAAGUCUGGGGUACCUGAAGUCGGUGACCGUAACAGGAGCUGCCUA